UCACAUGCCCCAGUGCCAUGUCGUCCCUGCUGUCUGUGAAAGCUCGCAGCUGCAAGACAAGGAUUUGUGCAGACACAGAAGGAAAAGGAAAUCAUGGGGUGAUUCUGACCAUGAGUUAAAUCCGGGAAUUAUGGCCCUAAAGCAGAGACCCAAUACUGCUGUUCUCCUGCUCACAAGCCUUGGUGAAAUGCAGGCCGAGGCUCCACUCCACCUGCAGCCACAGGCCUCGUGUUCUUCUGACAAUCUUUAAACUGGCCCAGUGGUCAUCUGGUGGUGGUCAUCCUAAUGCCUGGAAUGCUUUUACCCCCCACAUCUUUAGGAUAAUAAACUCACAUCCCUCUACGAA